GUAGGUGGCAAGCGUUGUCCGGAAUUAUUGGGCGUAAAGCGCGCGCAGGCGGUUCUUUAAGUCUGAUGUGAAAGCCCACGGCUCAACCGUGGAGGGUCGUUGGAAACUGGAGAACUUGAGUACAGAAGAGGAAAGCGGGAUUCCACGUGUAGCGGUGAAAUGCGUAGAGAUGUGGAGGAACACCAGUGGCGAAGGCGGCUUUCUGGUCUGUAACUGACGCUGAGGCGCGAAAGCGUGGGGAGCAAACAGGGAUUAGAUACCCUGGUAGUCCACGCCGUAAACGAUGAGUGCUAAGUGUUAGGGGGUUUCCCGCCCCUUAGUGCUGCAGCUAACGCAUUAAGCACUCCGCCUGGGGAUACGGCCGCAAGGCUG
rnacentral:rRNA from 1 species